rnacentral:rRNA from 1 species
UACGUAGGUGGCGAGCGUUGUCCGGAUUUACUGGGCGUAAAGGGCUCGUAGGUGGCCAACUAAGUCAGACGUGAAAUCCCCAGGCUCAACUUGGGAACUGCGUCUGAUACUGGAUGGCUUGAAUUCGGGAGAGGGAUGCAGAAUUCCAGGUGUAGCGGUGAAAUGCGUAGAUAUCUGGAGGAAUACCGGUGGCGAAGGCGGCAUCCUGGACCGAGAUUGACACUGAUGAGCGAAAGCUAGGGGAGCAAACGGG